UAGGGAAUCUUCCGCAAUGGGCGAAAGCCUGACGGAGCAACGCCGCGUGAGUGAUGAAGGUCUUCGGAUCGUAAAACUCUGUUAUUAGGGAAGAACAAAUGUGUAAGUAACUAUGCACGUCUUGACGGUACCUAAUCAGAAGGCCACGGCUAACUACGUGCCAGCAGCCGCGGUAAUACGUAGGUGGCAAGCGUUAUCCGUAAUUAUUGGGCGUAAAGCGCGCGUAGGCGGUUUUUUAAGUCUGAUGUGAAAGCCCACGGCUCAACCGUGGAGGGUCAUUAGAAACUGGAAAACUUGAGUGCAGAAGAGGAAAGUGGAAUUCCAUGUGUAGCAGUGAAAUGCGCAGAGAUAUGGAGGAACACCAGUGGCGAAGGCGACUUUCUGGUCUGUAACUGACGCUGAUGUGCGAAAGCGUGGGGAUCAAACAGG
rnacentral:rRNA from 1 species